ACAAUGAACAUUUUUCCCCUACAGAUUUAUUGUCAGCAUUUUAAUUCAGAGUUGGAUUCCAGUGGGUGGAGGAGGGCCAUUAUACACAUUUUUUUCUUUCAGAUUUAUUGUCAGCAUUUUAAUUCAGAGGUGGAUUCCAGUGGGUGGAGGAGGGCCAUUAUACACAUUUUUUUUCUUUCAGAUUUAUUGUCAGCAUUUUAAUUCAGAGGUGGAUUCCAGUGGGUGGAGGAGGGCCAUUAUACACAUUUUUUCUCUUUCAGGUA